UGUGGGAGCGAGCUUGCUCGCGAUAGCGUUGGGUCAGCCAAAUCAAUAUUGGCUUGGGCACCGUCCAUCGCGAGCAAGCUCGCUCCCACA
rnacentral:antisense_RNA from 1 species